UGGGGAAUUUUGGACAAUGGGCGCAAGCCUGAUCCAGCCAUGCCGCGUGCGGGAAGAAGGCCUUCGGGUUGUAAACCGCUUUUGUCAGGGAAGAAAUCUUCUGAGUUAAUACCUCGGGAGGAUGACGGUACCUGAAGAAUAAGCACCGGCUAACUACGUGCCAGCAGCCGCGGUAAUACGUAGGGUGCAAGCGUUAAUCGGAAUUACUGGGCGUAAAGCGUGCGCAGGCGGUUUUGUAAGACAGAGGUGAAAUCCCCGGGCUCAACCUGGGAACUGCCUUUGUGACUGCAAGGCUUGAGUGCGGCAGAGGGGGAUGGAAUUCCGCGUGUAGCAGUGAAAUGCGUAGAUAUGCGGAGGAACACCGAUGGCGAAGGCAAUCCCCUGGGCCUGCACUGACGCUCAUGCACGAAAGCGUGGGGAGCAAACAGGAUUAGAUACCCCUGGUAGUCCACGCCCUAAACGAUGUCAACUGGUUGUUGGGAAGGUUCCUUCUCAGUAACGUAGCUAACGCGUGAAGUUGACCGCCUGGGGAGUACGGCCGCAAGGUUG
rnacentral:rRNA from 1 species